UCAAACCGUACUUUUACCAGGACAAUUGUAGUUUGUACUUUGACCAAUUCAAGAUCUUUUUCAUUUAGAAAUGUAUAGUCUUCAGCAGGGAAAGAAGGAAGACAGAAGUAAACUGCUGUAAAAUAUAUGUGGCAUUUAAAACUACACUACUAGUUUUUAAUUUUUUUUUUUAAUCUUCCAAAAUCCCAGUCCUUGGUUUAUGACCUUCAGGUUUAAAUCUUUCACGCUGUCUGUUGCAAAAUAAAUACUGGUAUCUUUGUCUGACAGGUUAUCCAGGUAUCAUUCUGAGCAGUUGUUUAUGCAGUCUCCUGCUUGGGUCAGUUUAUUUUUUACUGUUACAGUCCACACAAUGUAAAAAGAGGAUUUAAAUAGAGUUCUACUCAUCCUACUAUUUAGGCACGCCUGCAACCCAGAUAUUUGGCAGCAGGCAGCACACAGAAACUUCUACUCAGUAAACAGGUUUGUCCAACACAAGUUAUAGCCAGAGAUACCAAGCAAAUCAGGGCAGAAGCAGAACAAAAACACCUCAGGAUUUGUUGUCCUUCUCAUGCUCUGCCUUGAACAGAAAGGCUCUAAAACUGCGAGUGAGAAUGGCUGGGAAGGGAGGAACUUGGUUGCUCAACUUGUAGCAAUUAUGCUGAACUUGACAGCACAAAGGAUAUGCAAAGGUAACAACACUGAAACCAAAGGCUCCUAUUAAAAGCUUUCCUCUGACAUUCUUGUGUGCUGACUAAGAUCUGAAUUCUCCUCUGUCUGGUCAGAUACAUCUAUAUGAUGACACGCUGAAUUAUAUCUCACACUUAGAAGCUGGGAGGAAAAAAGUUUCCCAUUUUUAUGAAAGUUGACCUUUAAGCAUGAAACCUCUUUUUCCAAGCUACUCUGCACCUGUAAAAAGACACAAGUCUGAGCUCAGGUCCUAUGUGGGAAGCAGAAAAACAAUACAGAGCUCAGGGUGCUGCCAUGACAAGCUGGCAGGUCAGGAAACCCGACCUUUUCACACAUCAGAUCAACACAUCUGCCCCAGUGCAGCCUGCCACACAGACUACAACAGACUAUGCAAAGAAAACCAUUCAAUGUUAGACUUCUGUAUUGACUAUGUCAGUCUAGUGGAGACAAACUUAUACCAGGAGGACUUUAAAGACAGGAGGGUAAGUCUGUACACCGAGGUUCAGCUAUAUGUAAGCACAGGCACAGUCGAAGAUAUUUUUAACUGCACCCACAAUGACAAUUUUGUCAGUCUGAUGGAUAAGAAAAAGGUGAGGCCAGCACAAAAGUGACAUGCAAAUCAAAAUUCAGUUGAGCCAGGAAAAGGAUCAAAAGACCUUAUUCUCCCCCAGAAUGACUUAACCUUGCCCCACAAACAGGCUGUGGAUAGGACUCCGAGACAGUCACUUAGGCCUACAGAUUGAUGAUUUUGUCUGCAAGUCACAAAUGCAAGCCCAUGAUCCCACCCACAUACCUUUCCACUUAUGUACACACAUCUGGUGUUUUGCAUAGAUGUGGGAAAAAAUACUUUUGCUUCUCCCUGCAUGUGGUGGUGUUUUGGUUGGAUUGGGUUUUUCUAAACUGAAAAAUGGGAAUACUUAGUGCAUUUGGGGAGAAGUGUGGCAAGGGUGGAGGAACUUACUUUAUGAGGCUCAGAGCAAAUCCAUAGAAAAGCCAAGACAGAAAAAUCCAGAGGAGCAUGACAAUUAUCCUGUUCAGGUGGUCAAACUGUUUUGGUUCCCUUGGUUUGAGAUUAUCUUUAUCACUGACUAAUUGUCACCAUUAUUUUCAUUUCCUUUUUGAACACUAAAUUCUGCUUUAGCAAAAACAGACUUUUGUAAUGUCAACAUCUGUUUUAUGUUACACGGAAUGGUAAUUUUAAGUUAGCAAUUUCUCAAAUACAAAACCAAACAUGUACUUCAGAUGUUUAUUUUUAAACUGGAAAGGCCUGUGCGGGUUUCUUGCCUUCACAGUACUUCUCUCUCUGUGAGUUAAGUGAAGCUGCAAAGCUGCAUUUCUGAAGAUGUUAUACAGAUCUUUUUGAUCACAAAAAUCAGGUCUCAUGUAUAUGGGUAAAACUUCAAAUAAUUUUAAAGCAGUAUUAUUUAUACUAGGGCUGUCAUUGGUUCAUAAAGAAAAUGGAGGCUUAGGUGCAAAGAGCUUUCUCAUUGCUGUGAAAAACCACCACUCCAAAGACAAUAUAGAAAGGUCUUGACCAGAAGGGUCUAUGCCCUUCAAAUUCCACUUGCUAACAAACUGUCCUUACAAAGAAUCUCUCUGCAUGAAGAUUUCAUUUGUAUACAUUUCAAUACUUGAGAAUGCAAGGUUUUUAGCAUGAAAACCUAGCAGCAAUACCUGAAACCCUAACCCAAGAGUAUUCCUCAGAUCUGCAUGUUUCCUCUGCUUCACCCUUCAAGUCUGUGAUCUGUACUCUGAGCCGUAAAACCCACCUGCUAAAACCAAGCAUGCUUCCACAACCCUAAAAAUAUUAGCUUCUUUUUAAAAUCUAGAAGUAGUAUUCAUUAUAAAGUUGGCCUUUUAAAGCAAUAAUUAAAGGGGUAUACUACUAAAACAUUCAAAGCAAAUAAUUUGUGAGGACUGGGGGAGUUGUUUAAAGGUCAUACCUUUUUCUUAGUGUUUACUAAAUGUUUUGUGCCCAAGGCCUUUCUGGCAGUGAGCAAAAGGAGCUAUUUAGAAUGUGAGAGACCUUAUAAGGCUGGACUUAGCAGGGUGGAUCCAGGUGCAACAUUUUUUUCUACAUAUACAAUAACAAAGACAUUUUGUAAAUCACACUUUAUUACAACACAGAACAAAUACAGCAUAAUGCGUCUAGCAGGAGCAAACUACAGAAGAGGAAAACAGCAAUGAGUCACACAACAUACAUAAUCCUGCCUCUAAAAAACAGGAGCAGAAUCAGAGGACAAAGACAUUUUCACAGUUGAGAGCUACAAAAUGGUUAUUUUCUGCUGCACUCAUUCAGUGCUCAAGCACAAAAACCCCUGCACAUUUAAAACAAAACAAAACAGAAAAGUCAUAUGUAUCUAAAAAUCAUGUUUUCCUGUGGGCAAUAUUCUAAGGACUUAUUUUCAAAUGUCAAGAAACAUCUUGAAAAUAACUUAACUUACAGGGCAAUCCAGUAGACACUGACACACAAUAUUCUGCCUCUUUCUAAAAAAGUGCAAGUUAAAAUAGAAUGAGAUUAAAUACUGAUCAGCAUUAAUGGAGACCACACAGAAUGUAGCAAGUCAGUUGACACAGUCAUAGUCUCAAGUAGUUGGACUGCUCAUAAAUUGCUUGAGCAUAUAAAACCUAAUCUAAAAACUUGAAGCAAACUUUAAAGUUACCUCAGGAAUUAAUACACAAUGACAGGGAGAAAACAGGGAAUAAUUAAUUAGGCUCCUAUUACUAUAGGUUAAUCUCUCAGAUCAAGAGUAGAUAUGGCAUGCUCCACUGUGGGAUUUUUCCUUUCAUCUGCUGGAAUUCAUUUGAGUAUUUCAGCCUCCAGACAAAGAGCAGCAAACAAGAUUUUACAAAGAUUACAGGAAAAUAAAGUAAUCCAAGAGUCAAUAUGAGACUUCAUGCAGCAGGUACUAAUACUUAAGAGGCUUUUUCUACUGGAAUGAUCUACCACUAAUUUAACUAAACUUACUAAAAAACACUCAUUAAAAUACAUCUGGGAUAUUCAACAGAGACAAGUUUUGGGUAGAGGACGAUACAGGCUACAGCUGGUGUCCCUUAGAGAGCAGUGAGACACGUGUUGGAGUAGAGCAGCAAGCUGUGACUCAGAGCACACCCAAGUGCAAUUCUUUGUUCCCUCCUUGCUCCUUACACACUGCACUCGCUGUCACAGCAGCCCCAGCACAGCCACGCACAGAGCUACGCUGCAGAGGGCAGCUACAGCUCGGGCACGCACACGGACAGACAGACAGGAGAGGAAACUGAAGUAGGAACACAAUCAAAAUGAAUUCUGGACAGGCAUCACCUGAAUCAAACCUGAACCUGGCUAUCAUUACAUGAAUCACUACCUGAAUCAUUACCUGGCUAUUAAACAAUCCCAGCUAGGAUGCCAGGUCGGUUCCUAUGAAGAACAAUAAAUAACAACUCUCUGCUCUUAGGACUUUAGUUUCAUGUAUUUGGGAAUCACCAACUGUGACAUAUUUACUGAAGCAAAUGUAAUAAAAGCCCCAAAAUAACAAAACGCUAUUUUGUCACUUUUAAUAUCCCAGAUUUAUAUUACUGUAAUUAUUUCUAACACGAUUAUUUUAGUGUGUGCCAUUAACUCAAUAACAGAGCAGCAAGCAUCAAAGUUUUCCCCCUUCUGCCUUCUAGACAAGUCAGCUUUCCAAAGUCCCUCUUGCCACAUUUAAGAUUGUUGUCAACCAAAUCCUAGAAGCAGAAGACACAAACAGAGUACAUCCUCAAACAUCAGUAACCUACAGAAAGCUCUCAAGCAGAUCAAUCACAAAUUCACGAGGAAGAUAUUUGUGUAGCACUGUAUAGAUUAACCCAGUUCUAUUUUAGGUUACUCCAGCCACUCCUGGCUGCGACAACAAAGUGCCUUCUCUGCAAUCACGUUUUCAACCCCUCAAAAAAGAGAAAAAAUAAAUUAAAUAAAGCCGACUUUGGAAACAUAUUCCUCCCACUCCCCUGCCCCAAAAGCCUUCAGAGCAAGCUAGAACCUUGGCACCUCGUGCCUGAACGCAGUCAUACCGCAGCCAGCCCAGCAGCGGUCGGGUGGCAGGGGCCGCAGCCAGGCUGGUGCCUCUCCCAUCAGCUCCCCAGGCAACCGAAACACCGCCUGAUCCUCAGCGUGGGAAGAUCCGAGACGCGAGAUUAGCGAAGAAGGAACUACAACCACACAACAGCGUCUGCCCCGGCUACUGCCCUGCCAAAACACGCGCUCUGCUCUCCACAGCGUGCGGAUCUGGAGGUAACACCUCUGGAGGACAAUGGGUGAGGAGGAGUGUCCGCAGGACAGGCUGGCACGGGCGCUGCCCGGAGCGCAGCGCGGCCGCAGCGAGCGGGCGGCGGCUGUGGGCGCGGAGGGGCGCGGGACGGCCCGCGGGAGCCGCUCAGCCGGAACAACCGGGAGGACACGGCGGCAUCUCCCCGCUGCAGGGGACUUCCUGACGGACAGAAAUACGCAGAAACGCCCCCAAGCCCUAAAAGCGCCAACAACAAGGCAUGAUUUACCCUCGCUUAUACGGCGCGAUUUCAAGGCCGGUGUCCGGCGGGUGACUGUCAAGUAAAAGAUCUUGCUGCCCUAACAGAAGAAAGCUAAAUGUCCUUCCAUCUCAGCACUAGCCUGGGGCCACCCUUCGUCCCACUGCACUUGGUCCUUUACAACUUGUGAGAUGCCACAAGAACUUGUGAUUCAAAUGCAUGAAAUGGAAUCUGUAAUUUACACUUGGCCAAGUAUGACCUCCCAGUGUCAAGCCCAUGCUGUAGUUUAGAGGGAAAUGUUUCUAUCGUGUCACUCCACUCUGAAAUGAUCUGUAGGAGUAAACCUUCAUUCAGUUGUAAUGCAUAGAAGAGAAAGGAAAUCUCAAAACAAAGGCACAAUACCCAAUAGCUUUCAAUAACAAAAAGCAACUGUAAAGUUUUCCUGUAGCCUGGAGAGAAGUUAAUCAAUCCAGUGAUUAUGAAUUAUUUUUUCCCCUCAUAAUAAUGUGUAAGAGGAAGUGAAGAACAGUAGGUCAAUGACUAAAGAGCUGUAUUGAAUCACUGCGUUGGAGAAGCUGUAAAUUUCACUGUCUUCUUUCCUUUAUUGCAAUUUUCCUUACUUCAUUGAGACAAAUGGAGUAGAAGGGGCCUAGAUCCUGACUCUUCUUGCAUUUCAUAUUGUCACUUAAAGAGGCAGUAUGAAUUUCUCCCAGCAAGCUGCCCUGCUAGGCAUUCUCCUGGAAGGGGGACUGUAGCUGAACAGUGGCUGCUAUUCUCUACUUUGUAGCACGUGUGAAGUGCAGAGUAACCUUAAACUCAGUGCAGUUGAUAUCCUGAGAUUAUUAUCCAGGUUUGACCAUUGCAAGGUCAAAGCACAGCACUGGAUUGUGCUUUGCAUUUCAUGAAAAUGUAACUUUUGCUUUUACCACAAGUAGAGAAGUUCACCAAAAGUGAGAGUUAAGCACCUCUCCUGCACUGUGGAUUUCUGAGGUAGCUUUGCAUUUCUGAAAUUAUGAGACAUAUUCCCAGAGCAUUUAAAUUUACUCUGCAGACACUGCUCAGCAGUUACACUACUUGAUAGAUGCUGGCUAUCACAUGUGUAGUUGUCUUCUGAAAAUAGAGCAGCAAGGUGAAAAAAUGUAUCUUUGAAUUUCAUGACCCCAGAUGCUCAGCCACAGAGAGUUACUGGAGGAUGAAACAUCAGGGCAGCCAGCAGCAAACGUGGCACCUGCAGUGCCCGAAAAGGCUCCCUGUGGGCAUCUGUACUUCCAACAUAUCUGCUGUUCAUGUGGGUAUAUCCAGGAACCCCCAAAAUGCUGCAUGCCAGUACUGCAGACACAACCCACAGACGCACACCAGUCUAAGCAGACCAUCAGAAACCAUCAGAAAUGUUUCAACUUCAACAGGUAAAGAGCUUGUGCUUGUAAAAUGCAAACUUACUGGUUUUAAUUGAUUAAAAAGACCUCUUCCUAGAUGUACAAGGAAGAUAAAAGCAAAAGCCUUUUAUUUUAUGAAGAUUGAAAAGAAGAAAGCACAGUCAUUUUGCACAAAAGCUGAAAAAUUAUUAACAAAGGAAAAUAGACUUCCUUUGCAGGAGAUACACUUCACUUAAUACUAAAUGGCAUAUCAUGAAAUCAAUUAAAAUAUUUGCAGCAUGUCAUGAAGUAUUCAUCAGUUGGGUAUUUUCAUGGAUGUCCUUAGAGCUUUAGUAGUGACUCUUGGUGUGCUGCUAGAUGCAGACAAAAUACCCAGCUAUGGCAACAAAUUGGAAGUAAUGAAGAGAGAAAAGCAAAUCUUCAGAUCUAGCUCUGCCUUGCUGCUCCCACUAAUGCCAGCCACCAAAGAACACAGCAGUGUCUGGGGGACCCACCCUCAAUCUCAGCUUUCUGGCUCUUUCCACAUUCUGUCUCUCCCCAGUUCUCCCUAAGAGAGGCAGUCAAGGUUCUGUCAUAGCUACACAAAAUUAACCUGUGUCUACAUUUCAGAGAUGCUUUGAGCCACCUCAGAUGCAUGUGUGAGCAUAGGUCCAGAUGCACAAAUGGACUUUGUCAUUGCUGUGUUUAACUUUUUCCUAGCUGACUCCCAGAGGAAACUCCAGGGCUCAAAAUGAAACCCUACAAGCACUCAAACACCUUGGGCAUCUUGGUGGCCAACAUGAGCUCACAAGAACCCCAGGACACUGAGGGAGGAGCCAUCUCUGCUUGGCAGUAAGAAAUACUGGAGAAUGGGAAGCCUUAAUUCCCAGUACAGGGACUGGAUGAACCAUCAGCUCGUCUGGAGAAGCAGUUCACCACCAGGUGGCAGAUACCACAACUUGGAUUUCAAAUGCUGGAGACCAAACGGCAGCACUGAUUCAGGAAAACCCUAUCUGUUGCACAUGAAUUUUAGAAAGGUAAACAGAUGCUCUUUUUUGACCAAGUCCAAGGAUGUACUGCAUGGACCCUACCAUGCUCCAAGUUACAGACUACUGAUAGUUGACUACUGUCUUAUAAUAAAUUUUAAUUCCCAGAUGAAUUCUUGUUAAGAAAAAAAAAAAAAGCCUUUUUGCUUAAUUACAGACCUAGCUAGAGUAAGAGUAAAUAUCUCAUCCAACACUUGCUCACUUAUACCUGUGCUGUUCUGUAGGCUAAAGCCUGCAUAGAACAUUUGGUUUCUUACCAAUUUCAAACAUACUGGUUCAGAAUAGUGAGAUAAAAUUGGUCCCUGAGAGCAUUCAUGAAUAGAAUGAAGGGCAGAAAAUGAAAAUAUUGCCAAGGUAUUUCAACAGUGCUUGAUUCACUCUACUAAAGCUACUCAAUCCUCCUUGUAACAAAGAAAAGCAUUGUGAGCCAUUUCCAAAAGCUGGGCUUUCCUCUGUAAUCUGUUCAUCUCAGAUCAGAACCACAGGUCUGUAUAAUUUGUCUAAUAUGUUGGACUGCAAAUGCUCCGAGGCAGUGACCAGUUCUUGUCCCUGUAUUUGCAGGGGAUUUAGCUGCUGGUUCCCUGACAAAGCACUUAAUCGAGCAGUAAGAGGUCAUUAUCACAGUAAGUCAAGGUGCUUUACAGACAGUUUAAGAAGCUUUGAGAAGGAAGUAUUGGAGCAGGAAGAAAGUGGGAGCUGAGGGAACUCUUAGUGAGUGUAUUAACUCCCAACAUUGCUAACAUUUCAGAAAGUCUCUGAACCUGAACUUUGAAGAUUUGUUUCUAGUAUUUUUUUAAGACAAACAUAUUUUCAUUAUUUUUGUAAGCUUUGUCAUUAAAAACUUGCAUUUUUUCCAUAUUAAUAUCUGCCAUCAUAAAAUAAGAAAACAAUUGCUUUUCUAGGUUAUCUUCUACAUGGACUUGGAGCUGCUGAUGCCAUGACCUAUUCAAGUUAUACUUUGUUCUCUGUGUUUUAUUAGCUUUAUUAGUACUUGCUUCACUGUGCAAGUGCAAUAUACAAGCGAGAAAAUCUCUUUGUAUUUUACUGAUGUAUCUGCAUCAGUAAGUUUUUGAAAAUUAAAACAUGGAAUUUAUCACUGGACUUUUAGAUUAGGCAUAACCUACUCUAAUCUUAAUCUUAACCUGUUACCUGAACUGCAUUAACUCUCUUCUAGCUUCAUUUAGCAUAUGGCCCAGGUGUGGAUAUAGAGAAAUCCAUUUCGUAAACUAUGUAUUUUGCAAAAUUAAACUAUCAAACCAAAUAAAAAACGCUCUUUUAAAGAUUUCAAACAUACUGACAUGGUGUUUGUUCAAGUAUAUUUGCUGUAUUAGAACCACAAAUCAUCAAACGAACAUAAAACCAACACAAUUAAAGAAACAAACCACUGCAAUUUAAUAGCAACAAUCUCACUUUACAAGAUAGCAAUGAUGGAAACUUUGCAAAGGAAUGUGAAAAAAAGAAUGUAAUUAAAAAUGACAGAUUUAAGACAACAGAAAACUGGAAAUUAAAUAGCACAAUAAUUCUAGUAUGCAGAAAUUUUAUUCAGAAUGUUUACUUAUGCAGCAUUCUGAUUAAUAAGUGACACUGUAUUACCAGCACUUACUAACAUCUGAUAAAUACUAUGCCCUUAAAGUCAUAUUUUUCUGUUCAGUGACCUUGCACAAACUGACAAUAAGUAACCCAGAGCCCAAAACCAAUUCACAGGUGGUCAGUACAAAAUUCCAAAACAGGACAGGAAAGGACCUGCCACAUACACAAUGAGUAAAAAUGCAAUUUAGUGCUAAUACGGUGAUAUCAAUAUUCAAUGCACUCCACAAUAUUUUAGAUUCCUUUUACAACAUAUACCACUUCCAAACAUGAACCAAAGCAAAGGGUGAUCUGGCUUUGUGGAUGGAAAGGAGCACUGACCUGGGAACUAGGAAAUCAGGAUUCAACUCCUGGCUAGAGAUCAGGCUCCCAAGUAAGACUUACGGUAAUAUGGAAAUUACAAGACUCUGAAAACCUUGAAAUUUACUGAAAAUAAAGCAAUGAAUUUGAGUUGGGGGCUUAUUAUUACAAAUUAAAUAGGAACUAUAUAGCACUUAAAUUACUUUGGAGAUUAUGUAUUAACUUUAGUAAGCAUGACUGCUGCUAAUCUGCAUAAAAAUGACUGAAUAAAACAUGAUAAACUGAAUGUAUACAAAGGAUUCUACAAAAGUAGAAGUCUCAUACUUCCUCUUCUUUGAACCCAAUUCAUGAAAAAGUGAGAAGAGGGCAGUAAGUGUGAGUACCCACAGAAAUCUCAGGAAGGAAACUGGCCCAUGGGAAGUGUGACUUCAGACAGGAAAUUUGGUGAUACCAGGAUUUCAUUUCCAAUGUCUUCAGUGAUACUUGAGCAAAUCAUUACAUAUUUAUCAAGAUACAGAGGACGCUUUUUUGAAAAGGGGUCUAAAUUUCAGUAUUGACUUAAGCUCAUGAGAACUGCAAAAGAAAGUAAGUCACACGAGCAUAGGAAAAAUGAAACCAAAGUAUUUUUCUUUUUAAAUACCAUAAAAUAAUGUGAUAACCACUAACAGAGGAAAAAAAAAAUCCACAAAGAUACUUUUUGCAGUUUAUUUUCAAUUAUAAUUUUUGGAUAACCAAGCAGCUCUGUAUGGAAAAAGCACAGAAGAGCAAAUCUGGCACUUUUGGAUAGUACAUUUGUUUUUUCCCCUAUUUUUUUAGACACAUUCAGUCCACUUGCUCGGUCGAUAGUCCAUUUUAUAUGAGCAUGAUUAGCUCAUGGGAUUCCAGAGGAAACUAACAAUAUAUACAGUCACUGAAACUAUCUUCUUGGCUACUCUGGGCCCUUUAAAAUGUCUUCUAAGUCUAUCCUGGCUAAACAGAAUCCACAAUAUACAUGAUAGCUACAGAAUACACUGUAUUGAAAUGAGAAAUGCUCAGCACAAAAUGGGACUCUUGGCAUGCAGCUUAAAAUAAAA